rnacentral:lncRNA from 1 species
CUGGCCCUGAGCUAACAUCCGUGCCUAUCUUCCUCUACUUUAUAUGUGGGACGCCUACCACGGCAUGGUUUGCCAAGCAGUGCCAUGUCCGCACCAGGAUCCAAACCUGCGCCACCAGGCCGGCCCCUAUUGUAGCUUUUUCUUAAGCCUUCAUUUCUGGCAACAAGAUUUUAUCUUAUUCACUGAUAUGCCACACAGAUUCUCCAAACUGUUUGAAGCCAGUAAGAGAGAAGGAAGAAAAGACGAUUCUAGGAUGACACCAGAUUUCUGGUUUUGGUAGCUGCAUUGAAGGAAGCUAGUGCUUCAUACCUACUUUCCUUGGGGGAAAAUGAAUGAAAAAGAGACUGAAUUCAAUCUUGAACAUGAUGAGUUUGAGAUGCCCAGAGCAUCCAAGAUAUUGAAAGUUGGAGAUGUUGAGAAUCCAUGGGAUGGACCAGUCUGGAGCUGAAGAAGCCACUGGGAUUAGUACCCUGCAACGUUCAGAUGGUACAAC